rnacentral:lncRNA from 1 species
AUGUCCUGCGCUCUGUGGCACCUAGUAAACUGUGAAGUGAGGGAUAGUUACCCUGCCCCUUUGGAGAUGACUCGCAAACACGUGGCCAACAGGAACACUGGCCAAGCACAGAUGGGAAGGCCAGAGGCUGCUGCAGCCAUCCAUCUGGCACCAAGGAGUCCAUCCAGAAGAAUGAUGAUGAAGAUGAGAGUGAACGUUUAUACUGUGCUAACUAUAUGUGGCUUCCCAGGUGGUACAGGGUAAAGAAUCUGCUUGUCAAUCCAGGAGACUCAAGAAGCUCAGGUUUGAUCCCUGGGUCGGGAAGAUCCUCUGGAGUAGGAAAUGGCAGCCCACUCCAAUAUUCUUGCCUGGAAAAUUCUAUGGACAGAGGAGCCUGGAGGGCAGUCCAUGGCAUCUCAAAGAGCUGAAGACGAUUGAGGACUCGCGCAUGCGCUGCGUAGCGGGGCCCUGUUCACUCACUCAGUCUGUAUGACAGCACUUGGAAAGAGGUGCUACUAUUAAUCCCCAUUUUACAGAAGGGGAAACUGAGGGCGGAGAGAUUAAGUGAUACAUCUAGGAUGCUCAAGUAGGCAGGAGUGGGAGGAAGGAUGGGAACUGGUGGGCAGGUGUCUGACUUGGCAUUUGGGGUGGCAGAGAGUCACCUAAGGGCUUUGCAUGGGGUACCUCGAGUUUACAGUUAAAGUGACUACAGGUCUGUUUUUAAACCUCUGAAGAUUGUUAAACUGUUACAUCUCUCCCACCUCUGACAGGUUUCGUGGAUUAAAAGGCUAAGUGGUACUCGUUAGAAGCGGGGAAGGGAGUAGAAGUUUUCUGGCACCGGAAACUAGCGGAUGACACGUCUCCACCAUGAUUGUGGUUCUAUAUUUUGCUAAAGCAAAGAGACCAGGUGUGGUUUUCCUCAUCUGAAAUUUGAUUAAACUUUUGAAAGUGUUAUUUGUUUCGAUCCAUACUCUUCAAGAAAAUAGUUUUGUAUCUAA